GGGCUGCACCUGUGGCAUAUGGAGGUUCCCAGGAUAGAGUGAGUCAUCAGGUUCAUCAACCACUGAGCCACAAUGGGAACUCUCAAAGCUUCCUUUAAUGCACGGCACCUCCCCGUCCUCCACCCCCCACAGGUAGAGAUGCUGCGAUUGAAGGCGUCGUCUGGCUGGCUUCCCACCCAAGCUCUGAGCCAAACUUCAGAAACCACUGAACAGGACCGUGAUGGGAAACAGCUGAGGGCAGCCAGGGGGACCCAUCCUCCGAGGCGACUGGGUCUCGUCGUCAAGGCAGCGGGAUGCUGGGGCUUGAAGUCAAGGCAGGGAUCGCCGUGCAGAGUCUGAGCAUCUGGAACCUCCCAGAAGGCGGAGGACCAUUUGCAGAAGUCUACACAAAAGGGGAUACACAUCACUGGACACGUGCCCGCGUGUCUGAGUUGGGUGAGAAGGGGUGGGCAUGCAGUGAGGUUAGGAGCGGGCAGGAGGUCACUCAGCAAAUUCUGUGCCUCCUCGGGAACAAAGUUAAUUUCAUUGUGUAUGCAACUGAGCAGGACCCUGCGGUGUCUUCCCAGGGCAGCCCUUCCUCCACAUGCUGGGCUUUCGCUCCUCUCUGAAGUGUAACAUGUAUCUUGUUGGAGCUUGACGGGAACAGCGUGACCUGUCCUCUGUGGGCAGAUGCACCAACAUAGGAUUUCUGCACGAGAAGUUUGCAACGACCAACCAUUUCCCUCCCUGACCUGCCUUUAACAAAGCUCUGCAAUUGUGGUCUGGGAGUUCAGGAGAUGUGGGGGGCAUGAGGCACCUGUCUCCUUGCCUGCCUCUGUAAUCCACCUGCCUAUGCUCCAAACUCUGAUGUUCCGGGAGAUGUAUGCAGAAAGAUAUCACUGUAGGGGAGCAUAUGUUUUCCUCUAGGAGUUUUGUAGUAACCAGUCUUGCAUUUAGGUCUUUAAUCCACGUUGAGCUUAUUUUUGUGUUUGCUGUUAGAGACGGUCGGUGCUGGUUUCAUUCCUCCACAAGCAGCCAUCCAGUUUUCCCAGCACCGGUUAUUGAACAGACUGUCUUUUCUGCACUGAAUGUUCUUGCCUCCUUUGUUGUAGAUUAAUGGAAUGACAGGUGUGUGGAUUUAUUUCCAGGCUUUCUAUCCUGUUCCACUGAUCUAAAUCUCUGUUUCUGUGCCAGAACCAUACCGUUUGUUGGUGGGAAUAUAAAUGGGUGCAGCCACUAUGGAGAACACUGGGGAGGGUCCUUAAAAAACUACAAAUUGAGUUGCUAUAUGAUCCAGAAAUCCCACUCCUGGGCAUCGAACUGGACAAAACUAUAAUUCAAAAAGCUCCAUGCACCCCUCUGUUCAUUGCAGCACAAGUUACAAUAGCCAAGACGUGGAAACGACCUAAACGUCCACGGGCAGAGAAAUGGAUAAAGAAGAUGUGGUCCAUAGACACAAUGGAAUAUUACUCAGCCAUAAAAAAGAAUGAAAUCAUGCCAUUUGCAGCAACACAGAUGCAAUGAGAGAUUCUCAUACUAAGAGAGGGCAGGUCAGAAAGAGAAAGACACAUACCACGUGAUAUCACUUAUACGUGGAAUUCAAAACAAAGAUACAAAACAGAAACAGAACCCAGACAGAGAAUAGACCUACGGUUACCAAAGGGGACAGGUGGAGGGAAGGGAUACAUUGGGAGUCAGGGAUUAACAGAUACAAUAUAUACUGUAUAUAAAACCCAUAAACAAGGACCUACUGUAGAGCACAGGGAAAUAUACUCAGUAUCUUGCAAUAACCGAUAAUACAAGAGAGGUCUUCAGAAGCCUCUAAGGUCUAUGGGCUGCAGGAACCCUGUUAGGGCCCCCCAGCCCCAGUUCCACUGGAGUCACUGUGGAGGCUGGGGUGCUGCCCACCUGUCCUCAGGGCCCAGGGAAUGGAGACGCCCGAAGUCCUGGCCUCUUCUCAUUUAUUCUACAGCCGACAGCCCAGAAAUGACCGGCCGUGUACAGCUGUCUAUGGACCAUCGAGGUGGACCUCGAGGUUUUGCAUGAGACAAGGGCUCUCCGGCGUGAGACUGGGUGGGAAGCACCUUCUGGUGGAUGCAGGUGCUGCCAGGGAGCCUGGGAUUGGUCUGGUCCUGGCCGUCUAAGCCCCAGUCAAGGUGCAGGGAUGCGGGAGCAGCACAGAGGAGGGGUGAGUGGGAGGGACGAUGGGGCCAAAAGAAGGCGUGGACCAAGAGCUCCCCACUGAGCAUGGCUGGGCGGGGGGCAGGGGGCUGCCUGCCCUCAGGGAGGGUGACUCAUGCCCUGUGCUCCCCCUCCCCCUGUCUGCUCCUCACCCAGGCAGGACCCGACCCCAAGACGCAGCCCCACCACUCCUCCCUGGCCCUCACCAGUAGCUGGAAAACACACCUGCAGUGGAUGCGACGCAGUGACCAGUGAAGGGGACAGUCUGCUGUUCUGGGCAGGGUGGCUGGCGGGUGAGUCCCGACGGGGCCCUCCCGGGUCCCAGCAGAAAUGUUCCCUCCAGGAGCCAGGUUUUUUUUCUUAACGGAGGUAGAGCUGAUUGACGAGGCUGUGUGAGUGUCAGCCGUACAGCAAGGUCAUUCAGUUUUAAUAUAUAUAUAUAUGUGUAUAUAUUUUUGGGUUAAUUUCCUUUAUAGGUUUUUAGAAGACACGGGAUCCAGCCUGCAGUUCAGUGGCGUCCAGGAUGUUCUCGUUGGCAUGGGAUCUCCUUGGCAAACACAUCCUUCAGUGAGCUCCUGGAACGAGCUCGUUUCCUAAGCCAGCUGUUCCCCAUGCCCAGGAUUCGGGGGUCUGUACCCAGAACGCCCCACCAUCGUCUUGUGCUCCUAGCGAGUGACCGCCAUCCGAGAAGUCCUCGUGGCAGACUCUGGCGCCCCAUCCUAGAAUUCCCUAGGAUGCAUGGACAGGCUGCUGCUUUUUGGUCCUCCAGCAGGCAUUCUCUGGGCAUCCACUGCCCCCGCAGGUUGAAAAUCCUUUGCUUGGGGCAAGCGUCCUUGUGACUGGCACGCCCAACGAGAACACGAGGCUGGCUGUUCCACCUGACAGGGCCCGUGGCGCGCUGGACGGGAUGGGAGCUCGUGCCCAAGACUCAGCUACUGCCGGGGAGACGGGAUGCAGUGGGAUUCGGUCUGCUGGCCAGGGUGUUUCUGUAGGAGAGUGACUCUCGAGCAGGUGCAUGUAGCCCCAUGCACACAUGCUCACAUGUACACACGGCCAUGCACACACAUGCUCACAUAUACACACGGCCAUGCACACAUGUUCACAUGUACACACGGCCAUGCACACACAUGCACACCCAUGCACACACUCAUAUACACACAUGCAUUCACAUGCAGACACACAUACACCUAUGCACACAAAUGAAUUUACAUGCACACAAUACACUCAUGUAUUCACGCACACACUCAUACACAUGCAUGCGCACACACACACACACUCACUCCUCCAGGGUGGCUCUGACAGGGCAUUCUGCUGACACAGAAAAGGGCAAAAAGAAGAGCCGUUCUUGGCUCUCACACAUCUCGCGGAGAGUUAAUCCCAGUGCCACGUGCUUAAACCCACGCCAGGCACCGCGUUCAAAGCAGCAGCCCUCGGUCACCUGCAGAGCAUUCCCGAGCCUUGUGGGGCCACGCGGAGGGAGGAAGGGAGCUUCGUCCAGAAUUUAAAGUUCCUAACUGUUUGGACAGCACAGGAAAUAGGUGGUUUUUCUCAUUUAUUCUUCCUCACCCGGGACACAUUCCGCCUCAGCCCGGGAGCCGGGAGACCCAGCCCACACCCCCGCCCUCUAUCCGCCUCCGCUUCCUCUCCUGGACUUGGGGGCGCACUGCAGCCUUUCCAAGAGGCCGUGAGCAGGAGGUAAUGAGCUCACAGGAGCGCAAAGCUCUCGGCCAAUGGCACACGACGGCCAGCGACAAAGACCAACCACACUGAGGGUGACAGCGAGCGCCAGGGGCCAGGCUUUGUGCCGAGGGCUGGCAUGCCUGCUUCACAGGCCAGGACUCGAGGCUCAGAGAGGCCUAGUCGCCUGUCCACGGCACCCAGCCAGUGCGGGGGAGAAGCCGAGGUUGAAAUCUAGAGUCACCAUCACCUCCCCCAGGUCAGUACCGUCACUGCAGUGGGCUGGCUCCCCCCAGAAGUGACUCUGCGAAGGCUGGGUGUGCAGAGAGGAGCCUCUGUCCUGGGGGCUCUUGAGGCAGGAAACGUACGACGUGGGGCGGGGCUUCUGCAGGUGCAUCACCGGAAGCGGGGCGUCCACGGGGCCUGCCUCUGGGCACGUGGCCUUCCUGCAGAGCUGAUCCAAAUCACAGCAGGACGUUUGAAAUGGGUGAACUGCGUGUCCCCAACCGCGUAUGUUGAAGCCGGGCUCUCAGACCCCCGUGCUUCAUUCUGUCUGCAAAGACCCUUCUUCCCACUAAGGCCUUGUUCA
ensembl:lncRNA